GGGCUAGCGUGGUUCGGAAUUACUGGGCUUAAAGCGCACGUAGGCGGCUUUGUAAGUUAGAGGUGAAAGCCCGGAGCUCAACUCCGGAAUUGCCUUUAAGACUGCAUCGCUUGAAUCCAGGAGAGGUGAGUGGAAUUCCGAGUGUAGAGGUGAAAUUCGUAGAUAUUCGGAAGAACACCAGUGGCGAAGGCGGCUCACUGGACUGGUAUUGACGCUGAGGUGCGAAAGCGUGGGGAGCAAACAGG
rnacentral:rRNA from 1 species